rnacentral:rRNA from 1 species
UACAGAGGGUGCAAGCGUUGUUCGGAAUUAUUGGGCGUAAAGCGCGUGUAGGCGGCUUUGCAAGUCGGGUGUGAAAGCCCUCAGCUCAACUGAGGAAGUGCGCCCGAAACUGCAGAGCUUGAAUACCGGAGAGGAUGGCGGAAUUCCCCAAGUAGAGGUGAAAUUCGUAGGUAUGGGGAGGAACACCGGUGGCGAAGGCGGCUCACUGGCUCGUAACUGACGCUCAUGCACGACAGCGUGGGGAUCAAACAGG